rnacentral:lncRNA from 1 species
GGGAAUCUGAGCCAUAUCAAAUCCCUCAACCUGUCCAACAAUUUCUUCACUGGUCAAAUCCCAGCAAGCUUUGCAAACAUGAGCGAGAUUGAAAGCUUGGACCUUUCCCACAAUGAACUGAGUGGAUUGAUUCCAUGGCAGCUGACCAAAUUAUCGUCAUUAGCGGUGUUCUCUGUGGCAUAUAACAACUUAUCAGGAUGUAUUCCAAACUCUGGUCAGUUCGGCACGUACGGUAUGGAUAGCUACCAAGGCAACAGUAAUCUUCGGAGUAUGUCAAAGGGAAACAUAUGCUCUCCAGAUUCAGGAGCAGGUGACUUGCCAUCGGAAGGAAGAGACAGUAUGGCAGAUGAUCCAGUGCUCUAUGCAGUCAGUGCUGCCUCAUUCGUCCUGGCGUUUUGGGGCACCGUUGCUUUCUUGUUUUUCCAUCCACUCGGACGGCGUGCAAUUCUCGCGACAAGGAAUUUGGUGUUUUGGUGUGGUCAUUAACGAUUUGAAGUUUAUUUUUCUGUCAUCCAUUUCUGAUUGUGAAGUCUCCACUUACCAACUGCUUCAAAAUUCUUGAGUCUAUAAUUUUUAAUCUAAUGUCCAUAUUUUGUUUUGGGCCUGUCAUCUAAAUGUCGAUGUUGUGUAAAUGGCUGUUGAGAAAUGUAGCUUGCUAUAAGAUGAAUGAAUAUAUUAGGCUGCAAUUUACACAGGGCGCGCUUAAGUGCAGGUUUGCCCUAACCUCUGAUUAUCAUCAUAAAAUGAUUUCUCACCAUGACAUGGUAAAAAUAAACUUGUUGGCCCCAUUUCCCACAAAAUCCAAUUCGCAUCCCCGAAGAUUCUGAUUUUCUAAAUAUAAUUCAAAUUCAAAUGUACCUAUAUGGAUGUAUAUGGAAAUAAAAUCUAGGAUUAAAUACUAAAUAUACCUGUUUGGUUGUUAAAUUGGGGAAUGAUUCCAAAACUCUGUGUGCAUAUAUCGGAUGAUAUCCAACCGAAAUAAUCCAAGACAAAAGCAGCAAUAACACAGAGAAGAAGCAGAUCACAUACCAUCCAACUUCCUCCGGUCCUUGAAGUGACUACCCUAGGGUUGGUUCGCUGCUGUCUGCGCGGCUAUUGGUAGUUGCCGGGAGCAGGAUGGAGGAGCGGCGAUGCCGGAGGCGGGGCCAGGCAAGAGUGACGACGACCUAGGUUUGGCUGUAGCCAUGGACCCAUGGUGGUUGUGGUGGCGAGAGCAACGGAGCAAGGAGAGAGCGGAGAGGCGGAGAGGGGAGGAGACGCGGCGGAGGUGAAGCCGGCAACCAGGGCAGCAAUGGGGGAAGAAGAUGC